rnacentral:rRNA from 1 species
UUAAGCAUAUCAAUAAGCGGAGGAAAAGAAACCAACAGGGAUUGCCUCAGUAACGGCGAGUGAAGCGGCAACAGCUCAAAUUUGAAAUCUGGCCUCUUUGGGGUCCGAGUUGUAAUUUGUAGAGGAUGUUUCGGGUACCGCCUCGGUUUAAAUUUCUUGGAACAGAAUGUCAGAGAGGGUGAGAAUCCCGUCUUGGACCGGCGGUAGGGCCCAUGUGAAACUCCUUCGACGAGUCGAGUUGUUUGGGAAUGCAGCUCAAAAUGGGUGGUAAAUUUCAUCUAAAGCUAAAUAUUGGCCAGAGACCGAUAGCGCACAAGUAGAGUGAUCGAAAGAUGAAAAGCACUUUGAAAAGAGAGUUAAACAGUAUGUGAAAUUGUUGAAAGGGAAGCGCUUACAACCAGACUUGAGCGCGGCGGUUCCCCCUUCCUUUUGGUUGGGUUACUCCGCCGUGUCCAGGCCAGCAUCGGUUCUGGGGGUCGGUCAAAGGCUUUGGGAAUGUACCUCCCCUUCGGGAGUGUUAUAGCCCAGAGUGUCAUGCGGCCUCCCGGGACCGAGGAACGCGCUUCGGCUCGGAUGUUGGCGUAAUGGUUGUCAGCGACCCGUCUUGAAACACGGACCAAGGAGUCUAACAUCUAUGCGAGUGUUUGGGUGUCAAACCCGGACGCGAAAUGAAAGUGAACGGAGGUAGGAAGCCGUGAGGCUGCACCAUCGACCGAUCCUGAUGUCUUCGGAUGGAUUUGAGUAAGAGCAUAGCUGUUGGGACCCGAAAGAUGGUGAACUAUGCCUGAAUAGGGUGAAGCCAGAGGAAACUCUGGUGGAGGCUCGCAGCGGUUCUGACGUGCAAAUCGAUCGUCAAAUUUACGUAUAGGGGCGAAAGACUAAUCGAACC